CCUAGUGUGGCUGAUGGCAAUAUUGCUGCUGAGACUCUGUGACUGCUCAGUCUCAAAGUAAACGCCCUGACACGCCGUGG